GCUUCUCAGAAGGUACGGCAUCUCAAUUUCCAGAAAAUAUGGGACUGAGAGCAGUAGGUUUUGCAGUUUCUUGUCCCAUUUUACAUUCAUUCUUUCCUUGGAAACCUACUUUUAAGCUAGAACUUGUACUGAGCCAGGGAUCCCUUCCCCUCUACCAGUCUGUGACCCCUCACGAUACCAAUUCUGAGGUCUGAGCAUUUAGCUUUUUGUGGCCAGUGGCCCUUUUAAGGCUCCACCCCCAGGAUGGCUCACAUUUUUUGUCUUGUCCCAAAGGUGAUCAUUGGCACAAAGACCAUCCUGGCCAAUGGGGCCCUGAGAGCUGUGACAGGAACUCACACUCUGGCACUGGCAGCAAAACACCAUUCCACCCCACUCAUCGUCUGUGCACCUAUGUUCAAACUUUCCCCACAGUUCCCCAAUGAAGAAGACUCAUUUCAUAAGUUUGUGGCUCCUGAAGAAGUCCUGCCAUUCACAGAAGGGGACAUUCUGGAGAAGGUCAGCGUGCAUUGCCCUGUGUUUGACUACGUCCCCCCAGAGCUCAUUACCCUCUUUAUCUCCAACAUUGGUGGGAAUGCACCUUCCUACAUCUACCGCCUGAUGAGUGAACUCUACCAUCCUGAUGAUCAUGUUUUAUGACCGACCACACGUGUCCUAAGCAGAGAUUGCUUAGGCAGAUACAGAAUGAAGAGACUUGAGUGUUGCUGCUGAAACACAUCCUUGCAAUGUGGGAGUGCACAGGAGUCCACCUAAAAAAAAAUCCUUGAUACUGUUGCCUGCCUUUUUAGUCACCCCAUAACAAGGGCACACGUCCAGGACUGUGUCUUGCCUUUCAGAUCUUAACAGAGCAGCAGGGCUUAACCUGUUGAUUUUGGAGCCUCUUAGUGACCUGGCUGCGUCUGUGUCAGGAACUUAAACUUUCUGGUUCAGUAGUGUGUUAAACAUAACACUGAAUACCUUGCUGGGAUACAGAUUUUUGCUCAGAAAUGGCUACGACACUUCUUCUAGGCUC
rnacentral:sRNA from 1 species